rnacentral:other from 1 species
GAUUCCCUGCCCUGCGCGUCGGAUGCUUAAGGUAGUGAACCAACAGUAAGUUAAAGGGAGUUCAGAUUCAUUUCAUCUGCGGAUGAAUGAGAGGACACCCACCUAGUUUGAAGGGUUCAAUUCAAUAGGUCCGACGGCAAUGGCGGGGAUUUU